CCCCACUAAUCAUGACUUGGCUGAUAUAGAUAGUUUCAUGUAACGUCUGUAAAAACCUCACCUCUUUCCCUGAACAUUUUUAUUAUUGUCAGCUAGCAAGUGCCUGAAAACUCUCAGUUCUCCUUUGCGAUGGGAAGCAAAACUUCUCCAAACCUAGAGCCUUCAAACAUUUGAAGAUGUCUGGUAGAAAAGAGUUAAUUGUUAGAGCCAGAAAGAUAACUGAAGCUCAUCAAGCAGUCAGAUCCAGAUGCUUCCUAUACAAGGAGGAAAAAGGGGCUAGUGAGUAGUGAAGGGAAGAAGAUGCCUUUAUCUCAGGAGAUGCAGCUGUCAUGUAAACACAGAGUGUGUAAUGCCAUCUGCUUAAUGCCUGAAGUUGCAUUUGUAUCAGAGAAUGGAAGAACCUUAAUUUGAGGACUGUGUUUGCUCUCUAAAGAAAAAGUAAAGAAGGGGGAGCAGCCCUCAUUCUCAUAAUCUGUGCUGCAUGUUGCACCAUUUAAUUUUUAAGCUCCAAAGGAAGGAAAAAAAAAUAGAGAUAUGGAUUCUUGGUAAGAUAUGGUGACAAAGGAGAGCAGUGUAGUAAAGACGAAGAACAACCCAGGGGGAAAAAAGUAGAAGCAAUUCUCUGUGCUCCCCUGUGGUUUGUGAAGCUGCUUGAAAAGCCUCCAGAAAAAGUCAGGGUGCCCAAAUGGCGGUUAAACUUGAAAAGUGAAAGACAGUGUUGUGGGCUCUGAUUGACGCAAGACCUGGAUUUGAAUACAGAGUACCUAUGCACUCUUGCUAAAAGUUAGUAAGUUAGUUCCAGCCAGGUUCCAGCCUGCAUACAGGAAUAUUGCUAGCCACAAGCCUUUUUUUUUUUUUUUUUUUUUUUUUUCCAUUUGCUGGAAGGAAAAAUGAACCAUUUCCUUGAGAGACAUCUCCAUCUUCAUCUACAUCUUAAAAUGCACAUAAUUUUCCAUUCUACCAUCUAUUCAACUACACAGCAAGCUCCUCGAGGUUCUUAUUUACACCUUCUAAUGGGGUCCUAAUCCUAUUUGAAAAUCAGGUGGUUGUGAUGUCAGCCAGGGAAAUGAGUUAACGGUAAGUGACUUUGGCC
rnacentral:lncRNA from 1 species